AACGAACGCUGGCGGCAUGCCUAACACAUGCAAGUCGAACGAGACCUCCGGGUCUAGUGGCGCACGGGUGCGUAACGCGUGGGAACCUGCCCUUAGGUUCGGAAUAACUCCCCGAAAGGGGUGCUAAUACCGGAUAAUGUCUUCGGACCAAAGAUUUAUCGCCUUUGGAUGGGCCCGCGUUGGAUUAGCUAGUUGGUAGGGUAAAAGCCUACCAAGGCGACGAUCCAUAGCUGGUCUGAGAGGAUGAUCAGCCACACUGGGACUGAGACACGGCCCAGACUCCUACGGGAGGCAGCAGUGGGGAAUAUUGGACAAUGGGCGGAAGCCUGAUCCAGCAAUGCCGCGUGAGUGAUGAAGGCCUUAGGGUUGUAAAGCUCUUUUACCCGGGAUGAUAAUGACAGUACCGGGAGAAUAAGCUCCGGCUAACUCCGUG
rnacentral:rRNA from 1 species